rnacentral:rRNA from 1 species
CAGUAGCCGCGGGAAUACGUAGGGUGCGAGCGUUAAUCGGAAUUACUGGGCGUAAAGCGUGCGCAGGCGGUUUUGUAAGACAGGCGUGAAAUCCCCGGGCUCAACCUGGGAAUGGCGCUUGUGACUGCAAAGCUAGAGUGCGGCAGAGGGGGAUGGAAUUCCGCGUGUAGCAGUGAAAUGCGUAGAUAUGCGGAGGAACACCGAUGGCGAAGGCAAUCCCCUGGGCCUGCACUGACGCUCAUGCACGAAAGCGUGGGGAGCAAACAGGAUUAGAGACCCCUGUAGUCCCUGUCUCUUAUAC